rnacentral:rRNA from 1 species
GAUGAACGCUGGCGGUAUGCUUAACACAUGCAAGUCGAACGGAAUCUUCGGAUUUAGUGGCGGACGGGUGAGUAACGCGUGAGAAUCUGGCUUCAGGUUCGGGACAACCAGUGGAAACAUUGGCUAAUACCGAAUGUGCCGAGAGGUGAAAGAUUUAUUGCCUGAAGAUGAGCUCGCGUCUGAUUAGCUAGUAGGUGUGGUAAAGGCGCACCUAGGCGACGAUCAGUAGCUGGUCUGAGAGGAUGAUCAGCCACACUGGGACUGAGACACGGCCCAGACUCCUACGGGAGGCAGCAGUGGGGAAUUUUCCGCAAUGGGCGAAAGCCUGACGGAGCAAUACCGCGUGAGGGAGGAAGGCUCUUGGGUCGUAAACCUCUUUUCUCAGGGAAGAACAAAAUGACGGUACCUGAGGAAUAAGCAUCGGCUAACUCCGUGCCAGCAGCCGCGGUAAUACGGAGGAGGCAAGCGUUAUCCGGAAUUAUUGGGCGUAAAGAGUCCGUAGGUGGGUCAUCUAGUCAGUUGUUAAAUAGUGAAGCUUAACUUCAUAGAGGCAGUGGAAACUACACGGCUAGAGUGCGUUCGGGGCAGAGGGAAUUCCUGGUGUAGCGGUGAAAUGCGUAGAUAUCAGGAAGACACCGGUGGCGAAAGCGCUCUGCUAGGCCGCAACUGACACUGAGGGACGAAAGCUAGGGGAGCGAAUGGAUUAGAUACCCCAGUAGUCCUAGCCGUAAACGAUGGAUACUAGGCGUGGCUUG